UUGUACUUGGCAGUUACAGCGGUUCUGAGAGCUGUGUGGAAGUGGAGGACUUCUCCCCACCAGAAUCCCCUGAAUCACACUGUGAUCAUAUUGACAACAGUGCAGGUCUAGCGCCUUAUCAGUUUGAACCUUCAGACCCCUCACAUACAUACGGGAGAAAGUGAAGACGAAACUGAUGAAGUGCAUAUCAAAGUCGUCCCGCACUGGUAUGUUUUUGUAUUUCCAAAUAUUUCUAAAAAGUACAAUAUGUAUUUAUCAAAUUGAAAGUUUAUCUUGCAUGUAAACGCCAGAAUAGUACAUAAAAACAUAACGUUAUUUUAGCGGAAACUAAAUCUUCUGUUGCAAAGUAUUAUAAAAAUGCUUAUGUUGUAAUUUUAGAACAGGUGUUCAUGUGUUAACUGCUCCAGACUCAGUCCCUGGGAGAAUGUAUGUUGUAAAGACAUACCACAGGCGAUGCACAGAUGUGGACAGGUGGAUGGCGUUGCCUGUAUAACAGAUCACCCAGGUUUUGAGCCUGUCGCUCUUAACCCAUACGUCCUGCAGGCAGUGUAUGGCACAUAUCGCCAGUUGUUUGGGGAGAUGAGAAACCCUGUCCUCAACAGUUCUUCGCAUACACACCCUGCAUACAGAAAUUUUGUCAGAUGGUGCUGGGGGUACCUGGGCAGACACAUCCGAGUGGUGAUACCCUCCUGUGCAAUUACACGCAUCAGAAAGCAGUUCCCAGACCAAUCUGAAAACUAUACUGGUUUCUUACUCCCUCCCCUUGAGUAAUAUAAAACGUUUUGACUGUUUGUAAAACUGUGGACUGUAAUUGUGUUGUCUUACUUGUAACAUGUUUAGAAAUUAAAUAAAUA